rnacentral:rRNA from 1 species
UACGUAGGGUGCGAGCGUUGUCCGGAAUUACUGGGCGUAAAGAGCUCGUAGGUGGUUUGUCGCGUUGUCCGUGAAAACUCACAACUCAAUUGUGGGCGUGCGGGCGAUACGGGGCAGACUGGAGUACUGCAGGGGAGACUGGAAUUCCUGGUGUAGCGGUGGAAUGCGCAGAGUAUCAGGAGGAACACCGGUGCGAAGGCGGGUCUCUGGGGCAGUGAACUGACGCUGAGGAGCGAAAGCGUGGGGAGCGAACAGG